rnacentral:rRNA from 1 species
CCCUUAGAUGUUCUGGGCCGCACGCGUGCUACGCUGAGUGGAUCAGCGGGUCAGGUUGCGCGAAAGCGUUUCCUAAUCUUUAAAUCCGCUCGUGAUGGGGAUUGACGGUUGCAAUUUUCUGUCAUGAACGAGGAAUACCUUGUAAGCGCGGGUCAUCAUCCCGCGCUGAAUACGUCCCUGCCCUUUGUACACACCGCCCGUCGCUCCUACCGAUUGAGUGGUCCGGUGAGGCUUUGGGAUCUGAGCGGAAAGAGCGUUUCGCUGUUUCUGCUCGGAAAACCCAGUCGAACCUUAUCAUUUAGAGGAAGGAGAAGUCGUAACA